AACCGCCAAUAAACAACAGAAGAAGAAAAAGAUAGUAGGGGAACCAUGGCGUUUCCACGUGAGACAGGCACGUUGGUAAAUGAUCGAUUGAACGUAGAAAAUAACGACUUCCUGCUAAAUUUGAGCUCCGAGCAACAACACGGGAUUUGUCCACUACAUAUUAGUGAAGAGGAAACCGAGUAAAAUGGCCAGUGAGGGCGGUGGUAGGCCACGAUGAAUCUCGGGUCCGGGGUCUGCUGCCGACUCUUCCGCAUUUGUGGGCCGCAAGUGAUGGACGACGACUGCCAUCAAACCGACGAAGAAGGAAUCAAAUAUUAGACAGCAAAGCGACGAGGAAACGAACACUAGCCUUGGUUUCAGAUAUGCUGCAAGGUUGAUUUGUGAUCAAGGCAUGGACCAAGGACAACGCUUCAGCUUGUGACACAAGAUUAGGUACACAUCCACAAUCCAGAUCAUUUGCUUUUUGUUUUGCCACAGAUAUGCUGCAAGGUUGAUUUGUGAUCAAGGCAUGGACCAAGGACAACGCUUCAGCUUGUGACACAAGAUUAGCUACACAUCCACAAUCCAGUUGGAUCAAAUAGAAAUUAGGCUUCAUGUGGAUGAGCUGUCAGUCCAAGCCACCCCUGGUGUGACGUGCCAUUAUAUCAAGGGAAUUAAAGACUUCCAGGCAUUUUUUUCAACUUGUACAAUAAAAUUUUGAGAACUAAUCUCAUUGAGUUCAU